rnacentral:tRNA from 1 species
GCCCAUGUGGCUCAGUGGUUGAGUGUCGGACUGCGGACUGAAAGGUCCCAGGUUCUAUUCCGGUCAAGGGCA